GACGAACGCUGGCGGCGUGCCUAAUACAUGCAAGUAGAACGCUGAAGGAGGAGCUUGCUUCUCUGGAUGAGUUGCGAACGGGUGAGUAACGCGUAGGUAACCUGCCUGGUAGCGGGGGAUAACUAUUGGAAACGAUAGCUAAUACCGCAUAAGAGUAGAUGUUGCAUGACAUUUGCUUAAAAGUUGCAAUUGCAUCACUACCAGAUGGACCUGCGUUGUAUUAGCUAGUUGGGGGGGUAACGGCUCACCAAGGCGACGAUACAUAGCCGACCUGAGAGGGUGAUCGGCCACACUGGGACUGAGACACGGCCCAGACUCCUACGGGAGGCAGCAGUAGGGAAUCUUCGGCAAUGGACGGAAGUCUGACCGAGCAACGCCGCGUGAGUGAAGAAGGUUUUCGGAUCGUAAAGCUCUGUUGUAAGAGAAGAACGAGUGUGAGAGUGGAAAGUUCACACUGUGACGGUAUCUUACCAGAAAGGGACGGCUAACUACGUG
rnacentral:rRNA from 1 species